GCAGACUGUGUGGUUGGAUCAUCAAGUCUCUCACUGACUAUGAUCCCUAUCAAAAUUACUGAUUUUCCCCUCCUUUUCUGCAAUGUACUUCUGACU